rnacentral:lncRNA from 1 species
CAAAGAUGAGGAGAAGGCAAGAGAAGCCCUCAGACAGCAGAAGAGGAAAGCAAAGGCCUCAGGAGAGCGUUACCAUGUGGAGCCCCACCCAGAACAUCUCUGCGGGGCCUACCCCUACGCCUACCCGCCCAUGCCAGCCAUGGUGCCACACCAUGGCUUCGAGGACUGGUCCCAGAUCCGCUACCCCCCUCCCCCCAUGGCCAUGGAGCACCCGCCCCCACUCCCCAACUCGCGCCUCUUCCAUCUGCACCAGUUUUGUCGCAGCCGGAAUACACCUGGCGUCUACCCUGUGGAGGGGUUCGAAAUCCAAAUCAGAGCUCCCAAGUGAUGGACCCUCCCACAGCCAGGCCUACAGAACCAGGGACACAGUUGUGCAGAAAUGGAGCCAGCUCUGGGAGGUGGCGAGUGUCCCUUUGCAGAGUCUCCAAAAAAUGACCGUGAGGGGCCUCAGUGAGACCAGAUUGUGUCAUUUGGCUCCACCUUCAUCUUGCAGAGCCAGCUGAUCUCAGAUUGCCAAGAAACUAGAAGCCACUUGCACGGUGUGGCCAGAGCCUCAGCUGGAUGAGAGGCUGAGAUGGGUGGCCAGCUUGUACACCAGUCCCUGAACUGAGCUGUUUACAGGACUGGGGAGGCUCCACCCAGAAGGCUUUCAUUUGUACUCUGCUGGGAGUGACUGGGAAAAACUCCUUCCCUGCUGCUGAGUGGAGAGAGGCCUCAUCCGGCUUUGACCCACCAUCCGUUGCAGAAGCCUCCAGGAGCAGCAAUCCUAAGAGUGGGAGGCAGCCAAGACCCCCUUCCUUCAAAACCUCCCGGAAGUGGUUUCAGGCCCUCUAGUUGCCAUGACCAAUUUGUGUGUGUGUUUAAUUUUUGCUUCAAGCUCUGUAGCAGGACCUGCCCCACGCACACCCCUACCCCUCUGUGAGGAGCUGUGGGAAGUGUGGGUUUGUCUCCAGAACAGAAGAGAAUGAUGGAUAUUCUGGCUCUGGGGCCCUCUCCACCACCACUCACAGUAGCCUUGCUGAAGCCAUCACAGAUGGGAGAAGGCCAUGCCAGCCACGUCCGCCGAGGGGCGCCAGCCUGAAGCUGCCAGGCCCUGAGGUUCAGACCCUGGACCCCAUAGCUGGAGGCCUGUGGUGCCAGAAGCCCAGAUUAGGGUGGCUGUCCAUCCCUGGAUAGCUAUUUGCACGAAUCAUGGACAUAAAUCCAAGUUGAAGAAGAUC